CUAUUUAUAUAAAAAGAAAAAAAGCUAACCUAGCAAGAUGAAUGGUUUUGCCAAAUAUUUUGUUUUGCAUGUAAUCUUGGUGGUUGCAGGUGGUAGCGUAGUACCGGAGGUAUGUGUUUCAUUAUCAUAGAUUGAUUAGUGUUAUAGCUCGGGAACUGUUUUAUCGAAUAUUGUGUGGGAAGUAAUCAAACAUUUGUCCUUCUCGACAAUUCAUUAUUUUUGAUUUAAUUAAUUUAGGUAAAUCUGCUUAAUAAGUCACGCCUAAUUUUUUACUGAUUAUAUAGAGUAUUUUAGCUCUGUCUAAAGAAGUUGUGUUAAAUUUAUUAGAAUUUCAAGUCUUAGAUUUGAUGUACUUUAAUGUCUGUUCAAUUGAUACAAUAUUGCGUAUCAUUAUUGUAUAGUAAUCACAUUUCAUUUAGGAUGCACUAAAGCAUAAUCUCCAAGAUUUUGGAGUUUUAACAGCUAUGAUUGGGGGAAAAGGGGAAAAAGGAGCCUUAUCUCACAUUACUGGUCCGCCAGGAGAAAAGGGUGAACAAAUAACCUGUCUAAUCUGUCGUCAAAUGCUUCAAACUGAUGUUAUUAUUGCUCCUAUGUUCUCCUAUGAAAAUAGCAAUAUGAAACGAGGAGAACCAGGCAUAAAAGGAGAGCGGGGUUACUUGGGUAUUAAAGGCGAUCGAGGUGAAAAAGGUAUCCAGGGAAUAAAGGGAGAAUUUGGUCAAGCAGGUUUUUCCGGAUUAAAGGGCGAAAAAGGUGCAAAGGGCGAGCAAGGGAUUCAAGGUCCGAAGGGUUGGUGAAGUAGGAGAAGAAGGUCCCAUGGGUCCAGAAGGUUCUAAUGGUCAUUCCGGGAAUAAAGGAGACCAAGGAGCUACAGGUGACUGUGGUACACAGGAUAUUGAGGAUGGUAUUAAAAUACUGGAAAAAGAGUUAAGAAAAAUCAAGAUGUACUUUGAUGAAAGGUAGCUUCUAGUUUUGUUGCAAUCGAUGGAGGUUUUUACCAGUGUCAGACAAAAUUGGAAAAAGAAUCCGUUACAAAAAUUAAUUGCCUUUUGUCUUUUAGGACACAUAAAACUCUUGAUUUUUAAACCUUUUUUAAAGCAUAUUUUUUGGGAAUUAAAAUUUGACAAAUUUUUAUCAUUUUUACUUAGCUCCAAAACUCUGUGCGUCCAUUAAGCAAUUUUGAACAUUUGAAUUGAUUGCAAGACUGUUGUUUUCUUUUUCUUGUGUUCGAAAAUGUAUUACGACAUCAUUUUGACGGACUGAUAUCAUCCAAAUAUUUUUAUAUCUUACGAUAAUAGCUAAUUGCUUUUUUCGUAACUAAUUCUUUAUUUUUAUUUACGGCAACAGCUGUGAACACAUCCAUGUUAAUGUGAACAUAAGGUAAAUAUGCAUAGUUAUUAGGAAUGAUUUAUUUCUAUUUAGAAACAGAUGAAAUUAUGUAAUUUAGAAAAGAUACUAAGCCUCGUCGAACUAACAUGGUAUUAAGGAUCAAAGACAACUUUUACGCAAUGCAGCAUUCUAUGAGAUAUACUUGAAAUGAAUUCAGUGGUGACAUGUUUGGGUUUUCUUCAAUGCAUUGAUUCUUCUUAGCCUCUGCUUUUUUAAUUGUCUGUUUUUCCUUUUUUUUGUUUUUGUCUUUAUUUAUAUUGUUUAUUACUGUCUUAAACUUUUGUCUGGUGUGUUCAGCUCGUUAAUAUUUCUAUUUUGGAAUUUAAUUCUUUCAUUUUUAUUUAUAUGUUGCUUGUGGCUUGUAAUUUUUUUAGAGAAAAUAUACAUUGUAUUAUUCGUCAUAAGUUUUGCACCCACAAAAGAGCUUGGACAAAGCAAUUUCUUGGACAAAACAGUAGGUUUUUUCACCAUGUUUCGAAAUUUUGCAAGUUAUAGAAUAGCCAAUUGUCUGUAUGUAGUAGUCAUUAAUUUCUUACAUUUGGUCAAAGGUAGCCCAGACACGCAGCACUAUCGUCAUUUCCACAUGACGUAACAGUUAGCAUUUGGACUAGGAAAGCCCUGAAAAAC